CCCUUAGAUGUCCUGGGCCGCACGCGCGCUACACUGAGUGUCUGAGAUACGAGUCUGCCUGGUCCGGCAAGGUCUAGGUAAUCGCUAAAAGACACAUCAUGCUUGGGAUAGAUUAUUGCAAAUAUUAAUCUUGAACGAGGAAUUCCUAGUAAACGCAAGUCAUCAGCUUGCAUUGAUUACGUCCCUGCCCUUUGUACACACCGCCCGUCGCUCCUACCGAUUGAAUGAUCCGAUGAAUAUCAUGGAUUGAGAGUACGAACAGGUUCGCUUGUUUCUGCUCCUCGAGAAGUGAAGUAAAUCUUAUCAUUUAGAGGAAGGAGAAGUCGUAACA
rnacentral:rRNA from 1 species